rnacentral:rRNA from 1 species
AAUCAACGCUGGCGGCGUGCCUAACACAUGCAAGUCGAACGAGAAAGUGGAGCAAUCCAUGAGUACAGUGGCGACCGGGUGAGUAACACGUGAUCAACCUACCCUCGAGUGGGGAAUAACUCCGGGAAACCGGAGCUAAUACCGCAUAACAUCUUCGGUCCACAUGAACUGAUGAUCAAAGGAGCAAUUCGCUUGAGGAGGGGGUCGCGGCUGAUUAGCUAGUUGGUAGGGUAAUGGCCUACCAAGGCUUAGAUCGGUAUCCGGCCUGAGAGGGCGCACGGACACACUGGAACUGAAACACGGUCCAGACUCCUACGGGAGGCAGCAGUGGGGAAUUUUGCGCAAUGGGGGAAACCCUGACGCAGCAACGCCGCGUGGAGGAUGAAGUCCCUUGGGACGUAAACUCCUUUCGACCGGGAAGAUACU